AUUGAACGCUGGCGGCAGGCUUAACACAUGCAAGUCGAGCGGGGUGAGGUGCUUCGGUACUGAUCCUAGCGGCGGACGGGUGAGUAAUGCUUAGGAAUCUGCCAUUUAGUGGGGGACAACAUUCCGAAAGGGAUGCUAAUACCGCAUACGUCCUACGGGAGAAAGCAGGGGAUCUUCGGACCUUGCGCUAAUAGAUGAGCCUAAGUCGGAUUGGCUAGUUGGGGGGGUAAAGGCCUACCAAGGCGACGAUCUGUAGCGGGUCUGAGAGGAUGAUCCGCCACACUGGGACUGAGACACGGCCCAGAGUCCUACGGGAGGCAGCAGUGGGGAAUAUUGGACAAUGGGCGGAAGCCUGAUCCAGCCAUGCCGCGUGUGUGAAGAAGGCCUUUUGGUUGUAAAGCACUUUAAGCGAGGAGGAGGCUACCUAGAUUAAUACUCUGGGAUAGUGGACGUUACUCGCAGAAUAAGCACCGGCUAACUCUGUGCCAGCCGCCGCCGUAAUAC
rnacentral:rRNA from 1 species